rnacentral:rRNA from 1 species
AUUGAACGCUGGCGGCAUGCCUUACACAUGCAAGCCGAACGGUAACGGGCCUUCGGGUGCCGACGAGUGGCGAACGGGUGAGUAAUAUAUCGGAACGUACCUUUCAGUGGGGUAUAACGUAGCGAUAGUUACGCUAAUACCGCAUAUUCUGUGCGCAGGAAAGCAGGGGAACUUCGGGCCUUGCGCUGAUUGACCGGCCGAUAUCAGAUUAGCUAGUUGGUGAGGUAAAGGCUCACCAAGGCGACGAUCUGUAGCGGGUGUGAGAGGAUGAUCAGCCACACUGGAACGGAGACACGGGCCGGAAUCCUACGGGAGGCAGGAGUGGGGUAUUUUGGACACUGGGGGGAACCCUGCUACCACCAUGCCGCGUGAGUUGAAAAGGCCUUCGGGUUGUAAAGCUCGUUCGGCCGGGAAGAAAUCGUAUGGGCUAAUACCCUGUGCGGAUGACGGUACCGGCAUAAGAAGCACCGGCUAACUACGUGCCAGCCGCCGCGGUAACAC